rnacentral:lncRNA from 1 species
GCCCGGCGCCGCCCGCCCGCCCGCCGCCCUCGGCCGGGAGACCUGUGGGGCGCUGAGAGCUGCCGGCUUGGGAGCCCUUGGCGUGACUGCCUUAGCGUCGGGAAAGGAUCGACGUUGAGGUCGCCGCCAGAAAGUGAGCGGAGCGAUGGUGAUCCCAGGAAGACUGUCAGCUCCUCGGUUCCAGCUGCCGGUGAGACGUUCAGAGUGGGGAGAAGAACCACAGGAUGGCCGACUGCAGAUCAGUCCCGACCCGGUGCACGUGGACUGGCUUAGCCCAGGAGCAGGAGGUGACCGGCAGAGCAGGCGGGAGAGCACAGCGGGCUGUGCACCGAGUCAGGAGUGAAUUGCACCGGCAGAGCUGCGCCCCGCGCACCACGGUCGUUUGCUCACGGUAGAUAGGAAGGUGUGUAGAAGUUAUCUACUGUGCCGUUGCCUCAGUGUACUGGCUAUUAAAGCAGAGUAAUAUUUUAUUGUAGCAGAUAACUCUUCCCACUGCCUACCCACUGGCAACAGGGUGCCCAGGCUUUGAGCAACACAGGAAACUAGUGAUUUGCAUUUGCAGAUCUUAAAAUAAAAGUGAGGUGCAG